CCGGCGCACGGGUGAGUAACGCGUAUACAAUUUACCUUAUACUGAGGGAUAGCCCAGAGAAAUUUGGAUUAAUACUUCAUGGUAUAUAGAUAUCGCAUGGUAUUUAUAUUAAAGAUUUAUUGGUAUAAGAUGAGUAUGCGUCCUAUUAGUUAGUUGGUAAGGUAAUGGCUUACCAAGACAUCGAUAGGUAGGGGCCCUGAGAGGGGGAUCCCCCACACUGGUACUGAGACACGGACCAG
rnacentral:rRNA from 1 species